rnacentral:rRNA from 1 species
ACAAAUGUAUACAUACAUAUCAGUUCUCGUCCGAUCACUGAAGUCAAGCAGCGUUGGGCACGGUUAGUACAUGGAUGGGUGACCGCUUGGGAACACAGUGUAACAUUGGCC